rnacentral:rRNA from 1 species
AGAGCGAACGCUGGCGGCAGGCCUAACACAUGCAAGUCGAGCGCCCCGCAAGGGGAGCGGCAGACGGGAGAGUAACACGUGGGAACGUACCCUUCAGUUCGGAACAACCCAGGGAAACUUGGGCUAAUACCGAAUACGUCCGUAAGGAGAAAGAUUUAUCGCUGAAGGAUCGGCCCGCGUCUGAUUAGCUAGUUGGUGAGGUAACGGCUCACCAAGGCUACGAUCAGUAGCUGGUCUGAGAGGAUGAUCAGCCUCACUGGGACUGAGACACGGCCCAGACUCCUACGGGAGGCAGCAGUGGGGAAUAUUGGACAAUGGCGCAAGCCUGAUCCAGCCAUGCCGCGUGGAUGAUGAAGGCCUUAGGGUUGUAAAGCUCUUUUGUGCGGGAAGAUAAUGACGGUACGCAAGAAUAAGCCCGGCUAACUUCGUGCCAGCAGCCG